rnacentral:misc_RNA from 1 species
UCAAGAGGGAGCUGGAUGGGAUUCAGGUGGAAUUGCAAGCGACUGACCCUACUGAGAUGGACCUCGAUGUGAUUCGAGGCCGUGCCAAUUAGGUAUUGCCUUUGUUUCUUACAAAGGAGAAUUUCUCCAUGCAUUCUGUGGUUGCUUUUGCGAGAUGUUUAUAGUCUCAUGGGACCGUUAAUUUGCUAGAUAUCAUGUGUGUUUGUUGUUGGUACAGUUAUGAUCUUUGAUUUCGGGAUAUCGUUU